CUAAAUAUCUAGCCCCCCUAUUUUAAUACAUCUUUAAAAAUAAACUAAAAUAUUCUAUUUUUCUAGUAAAGAAGAUUGAAAAAUUUAUAAGAGCUAUAAAACAAACCGUAAGGGAAAGAUGAAAUAAAAAUGAAAUAUUUCUAAAGCACAAAAAAAUAAAGAUAAACUCUUGUACCUUUUGCAUCAUGGUUUAGCCAGUCUAAUUAGGCAAAAUGUUAUUAAAGUCUAACUUCCCGAAACUAAGUGAGCUAAUUUAAGGCUGCUUAAUGAGCUAACCCGUCUAUGUAGAAAAAUAGUGGGGUGACCUUAAAAUAGAGGUGAAAAACCUACCGAACUUAGUUAUAGCUGGUUUCUCAAGAAAAGAAUUUUAGUUCAACCUAAAGUAAAUAAAAUACAUUAAAAUUUACCAUAUACUUUAGAGUCAUUCAAAUAAGGUACAGCCUAUUUGAUAUGGGAUACAACCCUUACUAACGGGUACAAUAUUUUUAUCAUACCUUUAAGUA
rnacentral:rRNA from 1 species